GUGCCAGCCGCCGUGGUAAUACCGGCAGCCCGAGUGAUGGCCGAUCUUAUUGGGCCUAAAGCGUCCGUAGCUGGCCGCGCAAGUCCAUCGGAAAAUCCACCCGCCCAACGGGUGGGCGUCCGGUGGAAACUGCGUGGCUUGGGACCGGAAGGCGCGACGGGUACGUCCGGGGUAGGAGUGAAAUCCCGUAAUCCUGGACGGACCACCGGUGGCGAAAGCGCCUUCGGAAGACGGAUCCGACAGUGAGGGACGAAAGCUAGGGUCUCGAACCGGAUUAGAAACCCGGGUAGUCC
rnacentral:rRNA from 1 species